rnacentral:rRNA from 1 species
AUUGAACGCUGGCGGCAUGCCUUACACAUGCAAGUCGAACGGUAACGCGGGGCAACCUGGCGACGAGUGGCGAACGGGUGAGUAAUGCAUCGGAACGUACCCAGUAGUGGGGGAUAGCCCGGCGAAAGCCGGAUUAAUACCGCAUACGACCUAAGGGUGAAAGCGGGGGACCGUAAGGCCUUGCGCUAUUGGAGCGGCCGAUGUCAGAUUAGGUAGUUGGUGAGGUAAAGGCUCACCAAGGCGACGAUCUGUAGCGGGUCUGAGAGGAUGAUCCGCCACACUGGAACUGAGACACGGUCCAGACUCCUACGGGAGGCAGCAGUGGGGAAUUUUGGACAAUGGGCGCAAGCCUGAUCCAGCCAUGCCGCGUGAGUGAAGAAGGGCCUCGGUUGGUAAGUACGUAC